rnacentral:lncRNA from 1 species
GUGCACACCCUAUUCCUAUAAUGAACCUACUGCAGCCAACAUACACCGUAAGAUUCUGAAUGGCUAGAAACUUGAGUGAUAGUAUAGUUAAACUAUAGCAACCUCAUUGUAAAUAAUCGAAGCAUUGCUGGUCAAAGAACUACUCACACCACUGUAGCAUCAAGUAAGUCACUUACGAGUAAGUAGAUAUCCAAGUGACUACUCAUGUUAGUCAUGCUUGAUAUCUUUAUUCUCUAAUAACCACUUGCACUCUUACUUC